AUUGAACGCUGGCGGCAUGCCUUACACAUGCAAGUCGAACGGCAGCACGGGGCAACCUGGUGGCGAGUGGCGAACGGGUGAGUAAUGCAUCGGAACGUACCUUUCAGUGGGGGAUAACGUAGCGAAAGUUACGCUAAUACCGCAUAUUCUGUGAGCAGGAAAGCAGGGGCUCGCACGACCUUGCGCUGAUUGAGCGGCCGAUGUCAGAUUAGCUAGUUGGUGAGGUAAAGGCUCACCAAGGCGACGAUCUGUAGCGGGUCUGAGAGGAUGAUCCGCCACACUGGAACUGAGACACGGUCCAGACUCCUACGGGAGGCAGCAGUGGGGAAUUUUGGACAAUGGGGGCAACCCUGAUCCAGCCAUGCCGCGUGAGUGAAGAAGGCCUUCGGGUUGUAAAGCUCUUUCGGCCGGGAAGAAAUCGCACGGGCUAAUACCCUGUGUGGAUGACGGUACCGGAAUAAGAAGCACCGGCUAACUACGUGCCAGCCGCCGCGGUAAUAC
rnacentral:rRNA from 1 species